UACGGAGGGUGCAAGCGUUGUCCGGAUUCAUUGGGUUUAAAGGGUGCGCAGGCGGGACAUUAAGUCAGGGGUGAAAGACGGUUGCUCAACAAUCGCAGUGCCCUUGAUACUGAUGAGCUUGAAUACACUUGAGGUAGGCGGAAUGUGACAAGUAGCGGUGAAAUGCAUAGAUAUGUCACAGAACACCAAUUGCGAAGGCAGCUUACUAAGGUGCAAUUGACGCUGAGGCACGAAAGCGUGGGGAUCAAACAGG
rnacentral:rRNA from 1 species